GAUGAACGCUAGCUACAGGCUUAACACAUGCAAGUCGAGGGGAAACGCCAUCGAAAGCUUGCUUUUGAUGGGCGUCGACCGGCGCACGGGUGAGUAACGCGUAUCCAACCUGCCCAUCACUUGGAAAUAACCUUGCGAAAGUAAGACUAAUACCCAAUGAUAUCCCACGAAGGCAUCGGAAUGGGAUUAAAGAUUUAUCGGUGAUGGAUGGGGAUGCGUCUGAUUAGCUUGUUGGCGGGGUAACGGCCCACCAAGGCAACGAUCAGUAGGGGUUCUGAGAGGAAGGUCCCCCACAUUGGAACUGAGACACGGUCCAAACUCAUACGGGAGGCAGCAGUGAGGAAUAUUGGUCAAUGGGCGAGAGCCUGAACCAGCCAAGUAGCGUGCAGGAAGACGGCCCUAUGGGUUGUAAACUGCUUUUAUAAGGGAAUAAAGUGGGUCACGUGUGACUUUUUGCAUGUACCUUAUGAAUAAGGACCGGCUAAUUCCGUG
rnacentral:rRNA from 1 species